rnacentral:rRNA from 1 species
UACGAGGGGUGCAAGCGUUGCUCGGAAUUAUUGGGCGUAAAGGGUAGGUAGGUGGUCUCAUUUGUCUGGGGUGAAAGCCUUGAGCUUAACUCAAGAAGUGCCCCGGAAACGGUGAGACUGGAGUCCCGGAGAGGGUCGUGGAAUUCCCGGUGUAGCGGUGAAAUGCGUAGAGAUCGGGAGGAACACCAGAGGCGAAGGCGGGUUGCUGGGCCGACACUGACGCUGAUGCGCGAAAGCCAGGGGAGCGAACAGG